UGGGGAAUAUUGCACAAUGGACGAAAGUCUGAUGCAGCAACGCCGCGUGAGGGACGAAGGCCUUCGGGUUGUAAACCUCUUUUAGCAGGGAAGAAGCGAAAGUGACGGUACCUGCAGAAAAAGCACCGGCUAACUACGUGCCAGCAGCCGCGGUAAUACGUAGGGUGCAAGCGUUGUCCGGAAUUAUUGGGCGUAAAGAGCUCGUAGGCGGUUUGUCGCGUCUGCUGUGAAAUUUCGAGGCUCAACCUCGAACUUGCAGUGGGUACGGGCAGGCUAGAGUGCAGUAGGGGAGAUGGGAAUUCCUGGUGUAGCGGUGGAAUGCGCAGAUAUCAGGAGGAACACCAAUGGCGAAGGCACAUCUCUGGGCUGUAACUGACGCUGACGGAGCGAAAGCGUGGGGAGCGAACAGGAUUAGAUACCCUGGUAGUCCACGCCGUAAACGGUGGGUGCUAGCUGUGGGCCACAUUACCAACGUGGUUCCGUGAGCGAAGUUAACACAUUAAGCACCCCGCCUGGGGAGUACGGCCGCAAGGCU
rnacentral:rRNA from 1 species